rnacentral:rRNA from 1 species
AGCGAACGCUGGCGGCAGGCCUAACACAUGCAAGUCGAACGAACCUUUCGGGGUUAGUGGCGGACGGGUGAGUAACACGUGGGAACGUGCCUUUAGGUUCGGAAUAACUCAGGGAAACUUGUGCUAAUACCGAAUGUGCCCUUCGGGGGAAAGAUUUAUCGCCUUUAGAUCGGCCCGCGUUUGAUUAGCUAGUUGGUUGAGGUAAUGGCUCACCAAGGCGACGAUCAGUAGCUGGUCUGAGAGGAUGAUCAGCCACAUUGGGACUGAGACACGGCCCAAACUCCUACGGGAGGCAGCAGUGGGGAAUCUUGCGCAAUGGGCGAAAGCCUGACGCAGCCAUGCCGCGUGAAUGAUGAAGGUCUUAGGAUUGUAAAAUUCUUUCACCGGGGACGAUAAUGACGGUACCCGGAGAAGAAGCCCCGGCUAACUUCGUG